AUUGAACGCUGGCGGCAGGCCUAACACAUGCAAGUCGAGCGGAUGACGGGAGCUUGCUCCUUGAUUCAGCGGCGGACGGGUGAGUAAUGCCUAGGAAUCUGCCUGAUAGUGGGGGACAACGUUUCGAAAGGAACGCUAAUACCGCAUACGUCCUACGGGAGAAAGCAGGGGACCUUCGGGCCUUGCGCUAUCAGAUGAGCCUAGGUCGGAUUAGCUAGUUGGUGGGGUAAUGGCUAACCAAGGCGACGAUCCGUAACUGGUCUGAGAGGAUGAUCAGUCACACUGGAACUGAGACACGGUCCAGACUCCUACGGGAGGCAGCAGUGGGGAAUAUUGGACAAUGGGCGAAAGCCUGAUCCAGCCAUGCCGCGUGUGUGAAGAAGGUCUUCGGAUUGUAAAGCACUUUAAGUUGGGAGGAAGGGCAGUCAGUUAAUACCUGGUUGUUUUGACGUUACCAACAGAAUAAGCACCGGCUAACUUCGUGCCAGCCGCCGCGGUAACAC
rnacentral:rRNA from 1 species